rnacentral:rRNA from 1 species
CCUACGGGAGGCAGCAGUGAGGAAUAUUGGACAAUGGGCGAAAGCCUGAUCCAGCAAUGCCGCGUGAGUGAAGAAGGCCUUCGGGUUGUAAAGCUCUUUUGUCAGGGAAGAAACAGCAGCUCUAACACAGUCUGCGAAUGACGGUACCUGAAGAAUAAGCACCGGCUAACUACGUGCCAGCAGCCGCGGUAAUA